rnacentral:rRNA from 1 species
AUACAGAGGGUGCGAGCGUUAAUCGGAAUUACUGGGCGUAAAGCGCGCGUAGGCGGCUUAUUAAGUCAGAUGUGAAAUCCCCGGGCUCAACCUGGGAACUGCAUCUGAUACUGGUAAGCUAGAGUUUUGGAGAGGGAAGUAGAAUUUCAGGUGUAGCGGUGAAAUGCAUAGAGAUCUGAAGGAAUACCAGUGGCGAAGGCGGCUUCCUGGCCUAAAACUGACGCUGAGGUGCGAAAGCGUGGGUAGCAAACGGGAUUAGAAACCCCAGUAGUCC